GAGCCAUUAGCUCAGUCGGUAGAGCAUCUGACUUUUAAUCAGAGGGUCGAAGGUUCGAGUCCUUCAUGGCUCAC
rnacentral:tRNA from 1 species